AUGCGUGAACAUGUUGAAAUUCUAUUUCCCGUCACUUCUCGUAUUCCUAAAGUACGUGACUGGAGUGUUGAUGGAAUCAUUGGCAAUGUAAAUUCAGUGCCCUCAUCAAAGAAAACUAUGCUUGCUAGUGCAAAAUCUAAAGCACAUGAGGCAUUCAAGAAUGGGAAUUAUCUUAUUGCAGCAAGAAUUUAUGGAGAGGCCAUGGAGCUCGACCCUUUUAAUGCGACCUUGCGCUCAAAUAGUAGCCUAUGCUGGAUUCGCUUCGGUAAUGGGACGCAGGCCCUGAAGGAUGCUCAAGCUUGCAGGAUGAUGCGACCUGGCUGGGCCAAGGGCUGCCACCGUGAAGGAACUGCUCUGAUGCUACUGAAGGACUAUGAAAAGGCAUGUGGUGCAUUUCUUGAUGGUCUUAAGUUGGAGCCUGGGAACGUCGAGAUGGAAGACGGGUUACGGUAUCCUCUUUGUUCCUGGAGGCCUUGGAGUCCAUGA
rnacentral:rRNA from 1 species